CCUACGGGUGGCAGCAGUGGGGAAUAUUGGACAAUGGGGGGAACCCUGAUCCAGCCAUGCCGCGUGUGUGAAGAAGGCCCUCGGGUUGUAAAGAACUUUCAGUGAGGAAGAACGCCUGGUGGUUAAUACCCAUCAGGAAAGACAUCACUCACAGAAGAAGCACCGGCUAACUCCGUGCCAGCAGCCGCGGUAAUACGGAGGGUGCGAGCGUUAAUCGGAAUUACUGGGCGUAAAGCGCGCGUAGGUGGCUUGAUAAGCCGGUUGUGAAAGCCCCGGGCUCAACCUGGGAACGGCAUCCGGAACUGUCAAGCUAGAGUGCAGGAGAGGAAGGUAGAAUUCCCGGUGUAGCGGUGAAAUGCGUAGAGAUCGGGAGGAAUACCAGUGGCGAAGGCGGCCUUCUGGACUGACACUGACACUGAGGUGCGAAAGCGUGGGUAGCAAACAGGAUUAGAUACCCCGGUAGUC
rnacentral:rRNA from 1 species